rnacentral:rRNA from 1 species
AUGGCUUCAUCCAAUUCCAGGACAAGGCCGUCGUGCGCGGACCAAGAGGACAUGCCGAAGACGUGGAUGGAGACUAAGUUGGACAAGGAGAAGGAUAAGGAUGUGCCCACACCACCAUGUUGGUGUGGUGAUGUUUGCAAGGUGAAGGUGCCCACUGACCGCAAGAAGUCAUGGACAGAAGGUAGAAGGUUUUUCAUGUGUCCCAAUUAUGCACAUGAUCGUUCUCGGCCAACUAACGCAUAUGACCUACCACUGGUAUGUUAG